AGCACCUCAGAAGAAAAAAUCAUAAAAGAUGCAAAAUCUGAACAUAUUUGAAUAUUCCAAGUGGAAAUAUGCAGAUGUAGAAGAGCAUAAUAACCGAAACACAAAAUACUCAAAAUGAAUGUUCAAAGACCUGGAGAAUACUAAAGUUGUUUAGGAUGCACAAAAUCAAAAACUACUGAAGGUAAAGUUAAUCCCUGAUGAAGGCUCUUAUUAAUAAUAGAAUCAAAAAGAAAGAUAGCAAACAAAAACCAAACCUGAUGAUGGCAGCUAAAGUGUCGAAAAUGUUUGCAAUUGAUGAUAAAAGUAUGUGUUUACUACUGAGAAGUGCUAGAUUAUCAGUUUGUCAUAAAAAACCAAGCAUAAAAGGAAAACAAGAUAUCCAGCUAAAGAUACUGGUUAGGAGCAAUUCAACUAGAACAUAAAAAAAAUAGAACACUAGUUGCAAGCACACACAUUUUUUCCAGAAAAGAAGAUCAUAAGAAAUAUUGG
rnacentral:lncRNA from 1 species